rnacentral:rRNA from 1 species
AUUGAACGCUGGCGGCAUGCCUUACACAUGCAAGUCGAACGGCAGCACGGGAGCAAUCCUGGUGGCGAGUGGCGAAUGGGUGAGUAAUAUAUCGGAACGUGCCCAGUCGUGGGGGAUAACGUAGCGAAAGCUACGCUAAUACCGCAUACGAUCUAUGGAUGAAAGCGGGGGAUCGCAAGACCUCGCGCGAUUGGAGCGGCCGAUAUCAGAUUAGGUAGUUGGUGAGGUAAAGGCUCACCAAGCCGACGAUCUGUAGCUGGUCUGAGAGGACGACCAGCCACACUGGGACUGAGACACGGCCCAGACUCCUACGGGAGGCAGCAGUGGGGAAUUUUUGGACAAUGGGCGCAAGCCUGAUCCAGCAAUGCCGCGUGCAGGAUGAAGGCCUUCGGUUGGUAACUUA